GAUGAACGCUGGCGGCGUGCCUAAUACAUGCAAGUCGAGCGAACGGACGAGAAUCUUGCUUCUCUGAUGUUAGCGGCGGACGGGUGAGUAACACGUGGAUCACCUCCCUAUAUGACUGGGAUAACUUCGGGACACCGGAGCUAAUCCCGGAUAAUCUUUUGCACCGCAUGGUUCAAAAGUGAAAUACGGUCUUGCUGUCACUUCUCGCUGGAUCCGCGCUGCAUUAGCUAGUUGUUAAGGUAAAGGCUUACCACGGCAACGAUGCAUAGCCGACGUGAGAGGGUGAUAGGCCACACUGGAACGGAGACACGGUCCAGACUCCUACGGGAGGCAGCAGAAGGGAAUCUUCCGCAAUGGGCGAAAGCCUGACGGAGCAACGCCGCGUGAGUGAUGAAGGUCUUCGGAUCGUAAAACCCUGUUAUGAGGGAAGAACAGAUGUGGAAGUAAAUGUGCACAGCGUGACGGUACCUAAUCAGAAAGCCACGGCUAACUACGUG
rnacentral:rRNA from 1 species